GUGCAUCAUUAAAACAUAUUUAUUUGAAAAACCAUUAGUAGAGAGUGUAAAAGUGAAAGACCCUCUGUUAGGAAGGUUAUAACCAUAUUUCCCACAUGGUGUUCAAGCAUGGACUGAAAGACCAGUGUGGUUCUUUCCAAGUUGGGAGUCGCUGACGUAAAGGACUAAAGUGUGUAUUGUGAAAGUUUAGACAAGAAACAUGUCGGUAUGGUCCAAGUGUUUAAUGGUACACAGCAUGUGGGGACCAACUGAAUCUUAACAAAAGAGUUAGAUUUACAAGGUAGGGAGGAGAAGAGGCAAGAAUGCAUUCUCAAAGUGUGAACUGAGAAGUAUGCAGUGGGGAGGGGCUUUAGAAGGUCAGGCACGGUGGGAGGAGCAGGUGGAACAGGCAGUUAGAGGCCAUUUUCAAGCCCAGGGAGAGAACAUUAGGCAGCUGGAGCUCAUGCAGGUCUGGAGGAGGAAGGGAACAAGCCACGAUGGAGAUGGCUCGCUGAAAAAGCCACAAAGUUGUGGUGAAGCCUCAUAUCAUGUUACAGCCAAAAGGGGAGAGACCUUGUUUCUGGUGACAACUGAUUACCCAGAGGAACCUGCUCUGCAGUAUAAAGGCAACCAGAGGUGUGCGAAAGUUAACAUCACCCACCAAGCUCACCACCACCGAGAGGAGUCAGUGAAUUCACACCAGAUGUCUCCACAAAGUGAAAAGCUUUCUAGGAUAAUCACCUAAGGGAACUACUGCAGAGCUGGGUGUGGUGGGACAUGCCUGCAAUCCCAGCUUCUUGAAAGACUGAGGCAGGAUUGCAAGUUUAAGACCAUAUGGGGCAACCUAGUGAGACCCUUUCCAAAAUAAAACAGGAUGUAGCUCAGUGAUCUUUGGACUCAAUCACCAACAAGGAAAAAUCAAAACAACAAUAAACUACCUCCAACUAAGUCUUAGCCUCAGGACCUGCUCUGAAUGUGCAAAAAAGAAGAAUGUGACUAAGGCCAACUCUCCUGCUAUGAAAGGGCUCCAUGAAAGAACUGAAUAGUUACAGAGAUAACACUUGUGUUCAACAAGUCUCACCUGAUACGAAAGAGCAAGAAGAGAAGAUGCAGGCCUUUAUUAUUUCAAUUCUGCUAUACGAUGUGAUACCCAAUGCUCCUGGACAUAAGAUAAUCAGAUUCUUAUAAGUCUCUUGGAAUACAUUUUAAAAAUUCAAAGUGCAUUUGCUUUCUUUGUGGGAUUUUGAUAUAGUAUAUGUAACUUUCUGUGAGAAAUGCUACCUAUGUGCUUAUCAUUUAGAAAACAU
rnacentral:lncRNA from 1 species